ACUCCAGAGGUCCUGCUGGGAAGCAGCUCCUUGACAUCAGCAGCAGCAGCUCCAUGAUUCUGGUUGAGACUGCAACUCACUCUGACCUCAUUUCAUUAUGCUACUAAAGUGGAUGGCUGAUGACUUUCAUCAAGGCUGAAAAACACAGA